GGUGGCUGCUGCCUGCAGUAGUGACCUGCUUUUGUGACCGUUCUCUUUUUUUUUUUUCUUUGGAUGUUUUUUUUUUAGGUUAUGGCAGAGGAAGGAGGGGUCCUUAAUUUGUGUCCCACCUGCGUAACGUAGGUACUAGUAGUAGUAGUAGUAGUAGUAGUAGCAGUAGUAGUUCAGUGUUGACAUUGAAACGUCACACAGAUACUUUUAAAAAAAUUGUGAUUUCUCCAAUAACGGACAAAUCAGCCCAGCAGGAGCAAACAGCCACAACCCAUCUUACGUCUGACAGAAGGGAAAAACAUUUGACUCUUUUCCAGGAUGAACUUGCUUGGCAUCUCACAGCAGGUAAAGCACUUGUAGGUGAUAUCAUUAAUUGCAGCUGCAGUCCUCUCUUGUAUCUGAUACGUUGCCCAGAUAUUCUCACUGACGCGUCUUGUUGGGAAACCAGAGCAGAACAACGGCAUCGUUUAUCUAAAAAAGCCAGACGACGCAACUGGUGCAACUUCCUGCGUGGUUACAAAGAAGCCACCGAGUUUCUCCCGCGGCUGCAGGCAUUUGAGGCAACGCGGGAGUCAGCUUGAGUUCUCCCGCUUAGGAGUCGAUCCUACACACAGAUAUGUGGCUGACGGAUGAUCCGGGGGGACUGUUUGUGAGUGAAAAAAAAUGUGUUUUCUCCUCUGGGUUUAUGAAUCCCCAAGUGGAGCAGAUGUUUUAGUUUGACCGUGACUGGCUGUAUUUACUACAGCUGUGCAGAGAAGUUACUUCCACAGAUUGUAUUUUAAGCAAUUUCUAUUCUAAAACAGACCAGAGGAAUAACUGAGGUACACGACCCGCACAUCAAAGACUCAGACCCCCAAACAUUUGGAUUGAAUGAAAUCCAAUUUAUCAAAGAAGUUUCCCGUUACAAGAGCACAGAG
ensembl:lncRNA